CCGUUAAAAGCCGUUAAAUGAAUUUAAAUCACACGGAUGGUAAUUUAUAAACUUAUCGAUCAGUUUAAACGGGUUAAAUCUCGCGUCCACGUUCAUUUACGGUCUUUUCCCGGUUUAGACACUCACAAGAUGCUGGAGCCGGUGGUUCCUCUGUCACCGCAGGACGCUCUGCUGCCUCUGCGGGGGCUGGGGAUGCUUUCCGGGGUUCAGCCGCUGGGAGGGCGUCGCUCUUCGGGGCAGGUUCUGGUUCGGGGGCAGCCCGUUCGAUCUUUGUGCUCUCCGGUUCGACUUUAGGGGCGACAAAUUCAGGCUGCGGGGUAAUUAAAGAAAAGCUGGUGGAGUCUGGGGUCGCCGUCUCGACCUCCGGCUCCGGUUCAGGGUGCUUCACCUCUGGCACGGGCACCGGUUGCGUUACGUGGACCGGCUCCGGUAACGUUACGAGCUUCUCUGGAGGAUCGAAGGACGUGUCUGUGAACUCAUGUGGCGCACCGUCUUCUACGAAGUGCCGCUCCAAGGCGUCCUUAGCCCCGCCGACCAAGUCCACAAUAUCAUCCAGGUUGAAGCGGUCCGGCUCGGGGUCCGGUCCGGCCUGGUAGUGGUGCACCCCGUCACUGAACAAAGGAGUGGUGGAAGAGACUUGCUGCUCCUCGCUGUCUGCCAUUUUUCUUUUUUCCCCGAACUCUCUUCAGUGGGUGGAAAAAGUUUCAGGUUCGGUACGUACUCGGCUCAGGUACCUCGUGUAAAGAAACUUCCACCGGGGAUGAUCUGUGAGACCGCGCCGGUAACCCCCCUCCGGUAAGUCCGCUUUUAGACACCGGAUGAAGUUGGACAAGUGCGCCACACGACAGUUUCCACAGAGUCGGACCCGAGUCUCAGAUGGACGCUGUGGAUGACAAGGAGACGAGGGGGGGGACUGCAGUGACCAAUCACCUGCGGCUUAACCUCUGAGUGACACGAGCUGUGGCCAAUCACAGCGUGCCAAAGUAGACUCUGACCCCGCCCCACCGGAGCGGAGGCGUUACGGGACGAACGGCUCUAAAAAGUUAGGUGGAGCAGAGUUCAGGUUCCUCCUGCUCCACACUCUGACCCGCAGCUGUUACACAACAUUUCCUUCACUCGCUCCUCCUCCUGCUGCCGACAGAUGCCCCUCCAACUUACUGGCAGCGGCGGGCAAACCCAGUCUCCCCACAAAGAUCAAUAAAGUUUCUUCAGAGAAAGUUGGAGCUUGAAGCUGCAGAGGCUCGAGCACCAUCCUCAGACCAAAUACCUGCAGGACUAACUUACACCGGAGGGAUCUCUAAAGGACAGCACGAGCAGGAUGAUACAGCAGCCUGUUUCCCUGGGAGUGAAAGUGGGGUUUGAAGGAAUCUGUGUCAUGCUGGGUCAGCACCACACACACACAUUUAACCAUUUAUUUACACACACAUGCACGAAAAUGGUGCAGGGACACAAAUAGUAAAGAUAGUAGAAGAUCAUGGAGCGGUGCCAGCGUUGUGCCCAGUCUAUGAAUGUCUGAGACUUGCAGGGUUCUUGCUUUUUAAAUAAAAUUUAAGACCUCAAAAGUGUGGAGACAAUUUCUUUAAAAGAAAAGAGAUGCGCCUUUUUAAACGCACAAAUUAUA